rnacentral:rRNA from 1 species
GAUCCUGGCUCAGGAUGAACGCUGGCGGCGUGCUUAACACAUGCAAGUCGAACGAAGCGCUUGAGAUUGAUUCUUCGGAAGAUUUCUCUUGUGACUUAGUGGCGGACGGGUGAGUAACGCGUGGGUAACCUGCCUCACACAGGGGGAUAACAGUUGGAAAACGACUGCUAAUACCGCAUAACUCGCUAGGGCCGCAUGGUCCCGGACGGAAAAGNUUUAUACGGUGUGAAGAUGGACCCGCGUUGG